rnacentral:rRNA from 1 species
AUUGAACGCUGGCGGCAGGCCUAACACAUGCAAGUCGAACGAGUGGCGGACGGGUGAGUAAUGUAUGGGGAACUGCCUGAUGGAGGGGGAUAACUACUGGAAACGGUAGCUAAUACCGCAUACCAUCGGAUGAGCCCAGAUGGGAUUAGCUAGUGGGUGGGGUAAAGGCUCACCUAGGCGACGAUCUCUAGCUGGUCUGAGAGGAGGACCAGCCACAGUGGAACUGAGACACGGUCCAUACUCCUACGGGAGGCAGCAGUGGGGAAUAUUGCACACUGGGCGCAAGCUUGAUGCAGCCAUGCCGCGUGGAUGAAGAAGGCCUUAGGGUUGUAAAGUACUUUCAGCGGGGAGGCGUUACCCGCAGAAGAAGCACCGGCUAACUCCGUGCCAGCCGCCGCGGUAAUUC